rnacentral:rRNA from 1 species
GAUGAACGCUGGCGGCGUGCCUAAUACAUGCAAGUCGAGCGAACGGACGAGAAGCUUGCUUCUCUGAUGUUAGCGGCGGACGGGUGAGUAACACGUGGAUAACCUACCUAUAAGACUGGGAUAACUUCGGGAAACCGGAGCUAAUACCGGAUAAUAUUUUGAACCGCAUGGUUCAAAAGUGAAAGACGGUCUUGCUGUCACUUAUCGAUGGAUCCGCGCUGCAUUAGCUAGUUGGUAAGGUAACGGCUUACCAAGGCAACGAUGCAUAGCCGACCUGAGAGGGUGAUCGGCCACACUGGAACUGAGACCCGGUCCAGACUCCUACGGGAGGCAGCAGUAGGGAAUCUUGCGCAAUGGGCGAAAGCCUGACGGAGCAACGCCGCGUGAGUGAUGAAGGUCUUCGGAUCGUAAAACUCUGUUAUUAGGGAAGAACAUAUGUGUAAGUAACUGUGCACAUCUUGACGGUACCUAAUCAGAAAGCCACGGCUAACUACGUG